rnacentral:tRNA from 1 species
GGAAAGGUGGCAGAGUGGUCGAAUGCGCCGGACUCGAAAUCCGGUGUACUACAUCGUAGUACCGAGGGUUCGAAUCCUCCCUUUUCCGCCA